UCCGGGGUGGCGCAAUCGGCAGCGCAAAUGACUGUUAAUCAUUAGGUUCUGGGUUCGAGUCCCAGCCCCGGAG
rnacentral:tRNA from 1 species